ACAGCUCUCAGCGUCCGCUGCAGCGCCGGCCACCUGAAGGUCUCUCCGUGCUUCAGAAACCUUUGACCUUCACAGAUCAAGGGGCUGAGGCUUCGUGCUAGG